CAAUUCAUUUCAGUCUAUAUCAUUCAAAAAGUGAUCAAACCAAUGUGAGAGAAAUAGCCCAAGCCAAUACAAAAUGUCAUGUGAAGGAAUUCUGACAAAAUAAAGAUUGGACAUGAUUGUGGAUUAUUACAAACGAAUCCUACCCAAAAAGAAUUAAGCUUCCGAAUCGCAACUGGCAACUGGCCUAAUACUUAGACAGGAGAAAAGGCAGAGGAAAAGAGGCGCUCCCCUCAAACGCUGGGGAAAAAGGUGCAGCUGCAGACGCUAAAAAGUCAGGCAAUUUUUUCAAUUUCGUGAUUCCCUUGCAGCCGGUCUCACGUUCCGCUCCACACGCCGCAUUUGAAAUUGGAUUGCUUGCUUGAAUUUGAAAUUGGAUUGCUUGCUUGAAGUUGAGGUUGCUUUGAUGGGCAAGGCAGAGUCACUCCAAAUGCAUCUUAAUUGAAUUACUGAAACUGCAAAUACUUACUCCAAAGGGUUGGAGCUAUGUUUUGACAGGGGCAAUGACAGCUUUGCUUCGAAAUCUUGAUCAUCGCAUCUCAAGCUAUUCAUCUGUUAUACGAAAGUCUGAGAUCGAAGAUGCAGAGGAAUGCUUGAAACUGUUUUCUAUGGACGAGGUGGCUAAAUUUAAUUAAAUGACCCUUCCUAAUGUCAACAACUUCAAAAACCACUCAAAAAGCCAGCCACGUAAUGAAAUCCACAAAGAACAUAUAGUGGUGCAGACAUUCCUCCUGAGAUCGGAAAGAUGUGCAGCUUGGAAGAAAUUAGUAAUCAAGACAAGGAGCAUUGAGUUCAUGCCAUUCUAUCUUUCUCUUCCAACCUUCUUGAUGAGUCUCUCUUUCUCUGCAUACGGACUUUUCAGAGAAGAUCCAUUCAUAUUUGUUUGCCGAAUCUGUGAAUGUCAAGCAGCUUGAGAGCAUAUUGUCAUCCAUUUCAACUUCCAUUAUCAGAUACCCUAUCCGCGGCAAAGCCAAACCACGUUCUCUCUCACUUUCUAAAUCCAAAGUCCAAACAAACAUAACAUUGACAUGGAUAAAGCAUACAGUGGCUACCGUUUGUAGUAAUGGUCAUAAACUUUAUGUAUAACACAUUUCCAGUUGUCUUUGUUGUUCUUUUGCAUAUUGUAUUGGUUAUGGAUUUCAGUGGUAUAAUGAAGUAUUACCACUGUUGCUUUCUUCCAUUGUUUUGGUAAUGGAUAUGUGAUUUUUACA